rnacentral:lncRNA from 1 species
AACCCUCGGAAAUCGACACUCUUCCCUUGCCUUCAGAGAGUGAUAUCAUGACAGGAAAUCAUCAGAUCAUCAUUCAAGAAUGUGUAAAAGAAGAAUCACCGAAACAUAUGACGUACCAAUUGGACCAGAUCUCAUACUCGCAGCACUCCACGAGUCCGAGUACAACAAGUCGCCCGACCGGGGAUCAGUUUGAGUCUACUGCGGACAAGACAAACUUGGGACCGGGAAAGUUGUUUCGCCUCGGGCGAGGGAAGAGAGAUUUCGAGGUGGACCGUUUGCACAGUGAAACUAGCGCUCCCUCGGGGAUACCCGGUAAUUUCUUCUCUCCUCGAUUAGUAGGAGAAUUUUCCAGUGCCGUCCGAGUGAAUAGGAGUUCCAACGGGCCCAAGGUAAAAGUCAAGCCGCCAAUAUUUUCCCGGAAUUAAUGGAGGUAAGUAUUUAUCCUCGAUAAUCCAAUUCCGAAGCGAGUAGUUCCCCUAAACAGACGUGAAGUGAAAUCAGAGUUGUUAAAUAUUUGGAGGUACGGCGCAAUGGCGCAGACUAAAGGGUAAAGGCCUCAAUGAGAGAGUUGAACGCACUGUUAUUAGGCGCAUUAACACCAAUGGGAAAAGGUGCUAAAUGAAAAUGCUCCAAUGCUAAAAUAUUUUGAAGUUAUUUUGUCCAUCAUCUUGGUUCACAAACUGCCAUUUACUAUGAUUCAUUUAAGAUUAGAAACUUAAACGUGAAACCACGAAUUAUGCUGCAUUCCCCUCCCCCCCCAAAAAAAGAGAACAAAAUUGACACAUUAAGCUGACGGGCUACCGUGGACAACAUCUUAUCUGUUUAUUAGUCCCCUUACAACACAUGAGAUCUUUUGACUUUUAUUUCUUGGAAAAAUGUAAAUUCAAGAGGAGAUUUUCAAUUCUUAUAGAAUUAGAUCAAAAGCCGUGCAAUAAAGCAGGGCACAAAUGAAUUAUUCCAGAAAUAUGCAACUAUAUUUUUACGCUCGGAAUGACGCUUCUUGUAUAUAAUUUUGCUUAAUCCACCAAUUGAAGGCGAACCAGUUCGUGUUAGAAGACGUUAUUGUUCGCCUCAGCUUAGAUGAAUAGGCUGAAACAACUCCUGUGCGUCAAAAUAGUUGUAUCCUCCGGUAUGUUUUCAUGGAAGGUCAGUUUGAAGACUUAGAUGGAAAGCAAACGCUUCUCGGCUGUCCACCUUCUCAGUAGGGUUUCGUCAUGUUUAAAGCUGUACAAAACGAUGUAAAAUAUACUUUUCUUGUUCUCUUGGGAAAAUGAAUUGUUUUCAAUCAAAUUUCCACCACAAGAGGAGAAUAGCUGGAGACUGAUCUUACCGGUUUGAAAGGACAUGAAGUUGGGAGAGUGCCGAAAUCUUUAAAACCUCGGUUGAAAACAAACCUUCCCGCGAGAAAAUCGCAGAAAGGGAAAGCCAAGCUAACUGCACUUUUGGUGUACACAUGAUCCAUACCUAGCCGCUCGAAUCCCUCUACCCACAUCUGAAAUCAAGAGACGGAAAACCCCAUUUUGAAAUUUUCUGGGAAUACCACGGAAAUUUUGAAGAUUAUACAAAUGUUAAACAUUUUAUUUCUAAAAUAAUCGUUUUUAGUCAU